rnacentral:lncRNA from 1 species
CUGGCCCGGCUUGGUACUUACAAUCUCAAUGAUAAUUAACGAUACUAUAAGUCUAUAACCUUACAAUCUAAACGAGCUCCAAGCAUUAAUCCUUAUUUGAGUUCUGGCAGUGUUAUACUGUUAUUAUACAACAAAUUACAAUGGAAAUUAAUUACAGCAUAAUGAAAACAAAACAAAGGAAGGGAAGGUAUAUUUCUUUGGCAGAAGCAGAGGAAGUCUCUUGCAUGGAAGGAAGAGACAAUUUCUUUUAUUGAUACAGAAGAGAAAAAAGGUUACAAGCCCAAUCAGCCUACACCUAAUGGUGUAACGUCAGGUUGUAAAAGGAAAGAAGGAACAUACAACAACUAAACCCACUGCAGUCCCAAGCGCCAUAUCCUCGUAAUUACUGUAAUGAGCUAUAUAUUCCGAUCUAGAUCAUCUCCCACCUGAGCGUCAGGUCUUCGUAGAAAAAUUUUCUUUUCAUUCUUUCGAUUUCCUUCCACACUCAUUAUCAGCCGUUGUGACCUAUCUUCUCUAUCGGACAUCUUUUCUAGUCUUUUAGAUCAAGUGGCAUACAUUGGAAUAUAUUUUCGGGUAAGUUAACUGGUAGUAAUGUAACAAAUCAGUACCGAUAAGGGGGGGGGGGGGGGCUAGGGCAUGUGCAACUGGAAUUGCCACCGCAUUUCCAACUUGCUUGUACCUACAUUAAUCAUUUAGAAAACAAAACUCAAUCAUUAAUUUUAAAACACAGGAAACAUUAUUCAAAGCGUAUGAUUUGCUUCCAUAAAAACAAUAUUUUCAGCAAAAAAAAGAGACUUCCAUGAAAAUUAUAAUUAGCAAAUUAUGGGUUCUGGUUGUAGUUUAAGAAAAACAUACAUUCUCGCAAAAUGAUGUGGAUCAAUACAUUUCUAAGCUUAUCAGUAUACAUUUCAAAGAGGCUUAUCAUAUAUUUACAUAAUUCGUACCCUUAAUCGAACCCUAGGGUGUCAUUAAAUACCAUAUAUCCCUAUCGUGAAAUUUAAACAAUACUCAAACUAAAAGAAAUAUUACCGUGUUGAUAGUGGGAACUACUACUUAACUACUAUUUCAUCUUGAAUAAUAUUCACAAGACAAAUAAAAAAGUACAGCUACUGCAGAGCAUGUUGCAGUAUACAUUAAAGUAAAAAAAAAGGCACCAAGAUGAAGGGCCAAAAAGCCGAUAAUAUAUAAUCACCUGUGAGGACCCUAUUUUGCUCUGGGAUGAAUAACCAUCUGCAAUGACAAUAAAAAUAAAAUGAGGACUAGUCUAUUACUCAAGUGAAAUUAUAGUGUACAUGAUUUUUUUAAAUCUUGGAUCACAUAGCCGAACAAUUCUUACAGAUUAUCAAUUCUAAUGCACUAUUUAGCUUAAACCACGCAUACAACAACAUAGGUUUAUUCCCAAGAAAUGAUGUUAAAUGAAUCACACUUAUUACUCUAAACAGUAUAUAUAUAUAUAUAUAUAUAUCAACAUAGGUUGGCAAGCGAGGUUGUGGGGACCCCUACCCUUUUAAAUUACGUGUGGAAACUUAUAUCAACAAUCCGCUGUUGACAUGUUUCGAACCCACGACCUCUCCACUUUGUGAGAGGGGUGCUACCAUUGAGCCACAGGCUCAUUCGCAACCAUAUAUAUUAUAUGGUACCAAAACACAUUUUGUAAAAGUAUCAGUUAAGAGUCUCAUUACCUUGGUUAAACCCAGAGCAUAAGAAGUGAUUGUUUCUUGAGAGGACAGGCUAUUAUAAUGAACUCUGUAUUGUAAAAGUCUAGAACAAUUGAUGAAGUUUUAUACUUGCAUUGAAUGGAGCUUUUUAUUUUGAAUAGGAUUCUGAACUAAUAUUGGAAUCACAUCAACCAACUUUUGGCAGUUGUUAUAUCUUUCUCAUUUAUGAUAUCCAUCAUCGUCGCCGGCAAACGUACUCUUUUUCAUCACUAGGAAAGGAAAUGGCAUAUACGCUUGUUUGUUGCUUCUAGAUCUUGAAUAGGUUGAAGAUGUGUAGGAAAGUGUAGAAGCAAUUGUUUCCCGUGUUGUAACAUUAAUGGUAAAAACUAAAAAGAAAAGAGUUUCAAGUCAGAAAGAUGAUGAUAGAUAAAAACAUACUAACAAGGAAGAUUAAAGCGUUAUAUCUUAUUUGGACCUGCCACAUUAGUGAAGACUGAAGAGUCCUUAAAUUUAAAGCUCAAUAUGUAUGUCCAUUUGUGUAUGUUAUUUUAGCCGUGAAUCAGGUUAUUCACUCAGGUAAAUGGGCUUUGCACGAUUUGAUCCACCAAUUACCGUGUUUGAUAACGAAAAUUUGCAUAAGUAAAUUUUAGCCGAAAACAAACACGUGACCUCAUUUACUGAGAUUCAUCCAGGUGAAUUGCAACCAAAGGGAGCCUAGUUAAAUUUCCCCGAACCAAAUUGCCCGGUUCCAAAAGUAAAUAUUUUGGUGAAGCCUUCUACCUCUUUUACCAAAGUUUUUAUUAAACACGGGUGAAUUUCUAUUUACCCUGGUUAUAACCCAAAUACUCUAUUAUUAACCGGCUGACCACAUUUGCCGAAAAAUCUACCCAAAAAAUCACCUGUUAUCAAACAAACCCUAAAUACAAUGUCUACGUCACCUAUGAAAUGUUGCGAAGAUUGGAAAAAAUAGUAACACAGCUAAGGAAUCCAGAAAUUUGCACAAGCAUACAUAAGAAAAUUUAUGUUUCUAACAAUUUCAGCCUACAAUAUUGAAAGCUUGUAUUUGAUGGAAUGGUAUGUAAAAUCACCAGUAAAACUAUAAUAAAUUAAUUAACAGAGAAUUAACUUUACAAAGAGCAAGCUAUGUGUGGGGAUUAAAAGUAGAUCAUCAUUAAUGUUGAUCUACUUAGUUUCAAGCCAUACCUACAACCAUAGUUUAAAAUAAAAAUUUCGAUUUCGAGCGAAAUUUCGUUUCUUAAAAUAAAGGCUAAAAUAAAGGCAUAUGCCGAGAUUCUGACACUAGAAAUCACAGUGCAAGCUAAAAUUCGCGAGAUUUCGUAAUACCAAAUUUUCAAAUACUGGCAUAUACCGUAGAAAUUUCGCGAAAUCUGACGAAAUUUUAAACCAUGCCUAGAACAACAUGGGUGAACGUCCAGUAUUCUCACAACAACAACAAAAACAAAUUCAUGUCUGCCAUAUGGAAAAUUAUUUAACAAAACACACUUAUUAAAUUCAACAAAGAAUGACAUUAAAUCAAAUAAUCAAUCAUACUUGUAAUUCUAAACAUAUUCUGCAUAUAUAUAUAUAUAUAAAAACUAAAUUUUACUUGAUUAGAAAUACCUUCAUUAAGCGAGGCCAGAGCAUACGCCGUAAUCGUGUCUUGAGAGAACAGAUCAUUGUAACAAAAUUAAACAUGAAAACCUCUGUUAUACCAGCUGGGAAGAUGAGCAAAACAUCAACAAGUUUAGAAGAUUGAACAAUCUAUUUCAUGAAAUCAGAGUAGCUAAGGAAACAAAUGAGAAUGUGGAGGACCCAAGCAAUGAGUUGAUCCUUUACGGACGAGGGGAUGGUUAAAUUGCAGACAUUGCAUGGAGGUUUUGUAAGACAAAUUCAUGCAAUGAUUCAAUAUACUUGGAGAAUUCUCAGUAUGUAUCCUGUGGUUGUCAAACUUGUUGACAUUCUUGCUGGGAUAAAAAAAAAAGUUAGUUGAUUAUAUAU